CUCGCAUGUCAUAGGUAGUAAUUAUUAUUGACUAGCAACCAUCCUAAGACUUUACUCCAUUAAAGCCUCAUCCUAAGCCGAUAACUCUCACCAUCUGAGCAUCUACUCUAAUUGCUCAGCCAACACUCUUGGGAUAUCAACUUCCACCUAGGUUUAUAGGCAUAUCAACAUGCACCUUUGGUGUAUCGACUUGCAUAUUUGGCA
rnacentral:lncRNA from 1 species